rnacentral:lncRNA from 1 species
UGUGACGAUGGUUCUGCCAUCCACAUCACCUCCCCUUCCUGUUCACGUCGAUUUAAUGGGUUUUUGUUGGUGAUGUUCUCGGUGGCCGCCGCGCCGUUUCACUUGCUUUUCUCCUUCCGGCAACCAACUCAGUCAUAUCUCUGUUUAAUCCUCCUUCGUUGGCGUUUCGCCGCCGUUAAUAUGGAACAAGGAUGAUACUGUUGGUUUUGAUCUGGUCAUUAAAACUCAGAUCUGGUUUUUGUUUCGGUGCUGGGUUGUAGCUUGUUGAUGAGAAGCUCAAGUUGAUCGGUUUUGGAUUCUGUUCCUUGCUGUUGGGAGGUUUCGAGCCAGCUCCGUCGUUGGAGGCCCUUGAUUCAUCGCUUUUUUGGUGGUCUUUGUGUUUUUUCUUGCUUUUUGUAGGUUUGCUGUUGUUUCGUGUAUGCUGAUUCAUUCUUCGUUUGUGAUGCAUCCGACUUUUUGUUGUGUUUAUGUAUUCGUUUCAGAGGAUGGGGAGGCUCAUGAUUUUGGCUCAGAGGUGGUUCGGUUUCAAGUUUCAAUAACCCGUAAGGGUAUGGUUCGGUUUCAAAAACCCGAAAGGGUCUAGUUCUGUUAACCCGAAAGGGUCUGAUUGGUUACUUUAACGUAUUGGACUCAUCACUCGAUCUGAGUUCUUACGCGUCGUGCUCGAAAGAUCUUUAUGCUUGCUGCUUUGUUCAGGGAGCUUGGCACUUGGAUUUUUAAAUAAGAUCCUUAAUUGUAGCCUUAAAUUAAACGAAAUAAAAAAUAUUAAAUUAUAUUGCAAAGAAAAAAUGAUGUACUGUCAAAAUUUAAAUAAUUGAGGUUAAUCAAGGUUGGCUCGGCUAAUAACGAGUUGACUCAACUUCAAGGGCUUGGAUUCAAACCCCACUAUUAGCGUGAGGAUAUCUUCGAUAGGGAGUAACUUUGUAAGUGUUCAUUGAGUCAUGAGACAUAUCUUGAUCUUGAUGUGUCCUCCAGAGUCUAAC